rnacentral:snRNA from 1 species
AUUGCUUCUCAUCCUUUUGGCUAAGCUCAAGUGAAG